rnacentral:rRNA from 1 species
CCUACGGGAGGCAGCAGUAGGGAAUUUUCGUCAAUGGGCGCAAGCCUGAACGAGCAAUGCCGCGUGAACGAGGAAGGUCUUCGGAUCGUAAAGUUCUGUUGAAGGGGAAAAAGAGCGGAGAGAGGAAAUGAACUCCGAUUGAUAUUACCCUUCGAGGAAGUCACGGCUAACUACGUGCCAGCAGCCGCGGUAAUACGUAGGUGGCGAGCGUUAUCCGGAAUGAUUGGGCGUAAAGGGUGCGUAGGCGGCCUGCUAAGUCUGGAGUGAAAGGUACCGGCUCAACCGGUACAGGCGCUGGAAACUGGCGGGCUAGAGAGCAGGAGAGGGCGGUGGAACUACAUGGGUAGCGGUAAAAUGCGUAGAUAUAUGGAAGAACACCAGUGGCGAAGGCGGCCGCCUGGCCUGUUGACUGACGCUGAGGCACGAAAGCGUGGGGAGCAAAUAGGAUUAGAUACCCCAGUAGUC